AUUGAACGCUGGCGGCAUGCUUUACACAUGCAAGCCGAACGGCAGCGCGGGCUUCGGCCUGGCGGCGAGUGGCGAACGGGUGAGUAAUACAUCGGAACGUGCCCAGUAGUGGGGGAUAGCUCGGCGAAAGCCGGAUUAAUACCGCAUACGACCUGAGGGUGAAAGCGGGGGAUCUUCGGACCUCGCGCUAUUGGAGCGGCCGAUGGCAGAUUAGCUAGUUGGUGGGGUAAAGGCCUACCAAGGCGACGAUCUGUAGCUGGUCUGAGAGGACGACCAGCCACACUGGGACUGAGACACGGCCCAGACUCCUACGGGAGGCAGCAGUGGGGAAUUUUGGACAAUGGGCGAAAGCCUGAUCCAGCAAUGCCGCGUGUGUGAUGAAGGCCUUCGGGUUGUAAAGCACUUUUGGCGGGAACGAAAAGGACUGUGCCAAUACCACGGUUCGAUGACGGUACCCGCAGAAUAAGCACCGGCUAACUACGUG
rnacentral:rRNA from 1 species